GAAGGGGGGGAAACUUUGGCUUCCUUGAAUGUUUAGCGGCGGACGGGUGAGUAACACGUGGGUAACCUGCCUGUAAGACUGGGAUAACUCCGGGAAACCGGGGCUAAUACCGGAUGGUUGUUUGAACCGCAUGGUUCAGACAUAAAAGGUGGCUUCGGCUACCACUUACAGAUGGACCCGCGGCGCAUUAGCUAGUUGGUGAGGUAACGGCUCACCAAGGCGACGAUGCGUAGCCGACCUGAGAGGGUGAUCGGCCACACUGGGACUGAGACACGGCCCAGACUCCUACGGGAGGCAGCAGUAGGGAAUCUUCCGCAAUGGACGAAAGUCUGACGGAGCAACGCCGCGUGAGUGAUGAAGGUUUUCGGAUCGUAAAGCUCUGUUGUUAGGGAAGAACAAGUGCCGUUCAAAUAGGGCGGCACCUUGACGGUACCUAACCAGAAAGCCACGGCUAACUACGUGCCAGCAGCCGCGGUAAUACGUAGGUGGCAAGCGUUGUCCGGAAUUAUUGGGCGUAAAGGGCUCGCAGGCGGUUUCUUAAGUCUGAUGUGAAAGCCCCCGGCUCAACCGGGGAGGGUCAUUGGAAACUGGGGAACUUGAGUGCAGAAGAGGAGAGUGGAAUUCCACGUGUAGCGGUGAAAUGCGUAGAGAUGUGGAGGAACACCAGUGGCGAAGGCGACUCUCUGGUCUGUAACUGACGCUGAGGAGCGAAAGCGUGGGGAGCGAACAGGAUUAGAUACCCUGGUAGUCCACGCCGUAACGAUGAGUGCUAAGUGUUAGGGGGUUUCCGCCCCUUAGUGCUGCAGCUAACGCAUUAAGCACUCCGCCUGGGGGAGUACGGUCGCAAGACUGAAACUCAAAGGGAAUUUGACGGGGGGCCCCGCACAAAGCGGUGGGAGCAAUGUGAUUAUCGGAAGCAACGCGAGAAACCUUAACCAAGGUCCUUUGUGA
rnacentral:rRNA from 1 species